GUGCUCACUUAAGUGGCGCAUAUCAAUUUGAAAUAAUGCAGAGAUGAUUAACAUGGCCCCUGCACAAGGAUCACAUGCAAACUUGUAAAGCAGUCUGUAGUUUU
ensembl:snRNA U6 U6 spliceosomal RNA